UUAAAUGGCCGCGGUAAUUUGACCGUGCAAAGGUAGCAUAAUCAUUAGUUUUUUAAUUGAAAGCUGGAAUGAAUGGUUGGACGAGAAAAUAACUGUCUCGAUUUAAUUGAAUAUAGAAUUUUAUUUAUAAGUAAAAAAGCUUAUAUAUGUUUAAAAGACGAGAAGACCCUAUAGAAUUUAAUAUUUUAAUAUAUUUAUAUUUUUUAGGAUAAAUAAGUAUUAAUAUAUUAAAAUAUUUUGUUGGGGUGAUAGAAAAAUUAAAUUAACUUUUUUUAUAUUAAUAAAAAUCAUAAAUUAGUGAAUAAUUGAUCCGUUUUUACGAUUAUAAGAUUAAAUUACCUUAGGGAUAACAGCGUAAUUUUUUUUAAGAGUUCUUAUCGAAAGAAAAGUUUGCGACCUCGAUGUUGGAUUAAAAUUAACUUUUGGUGUAGCAGUUAAAAGGUUAGGUCUGUUCGACCUUUAAAAUUUUACAUGAUCUGAGUUUAAACCGGCGUGAGCCAGGUUGGUUUCUAUCUUUAAAAUAAUUGAAUAUUUUAGUACGAAAGGAUUAAGUAUUUGUAAGAUUUAUUUAAAAUUGAAUAUUAGUA
rnacentral:rRNA from 1 species